UAAGAUUUCUCGUCUGGCAAAAUCCACCAUCGCCUGCCACAGAGCCGGGUGGGUGGUAACAGGCUCUAAUCGUAGUCCCCGGUUCUAUUUCUGCAGAAUGAAGGCACUCAGCUGUGACGGUUCCUCGUCCCUGCACCCGGGUUUUCCUUCGAGGGCUCCUGUUUCGAAGAGAAGCCUUUUUUGUUGUUGUUGUUUUAACUCGACCAAGAGACGGUCUAUUGUGGUGGCAAGAGUCCUGCUAAACUAACAAGGCUGAAUUCAAAGCCGACAGGUACCAGUCUCUCUAAAUAUCAGAAACCCAGUGUGGGAGAUCACCAAGAGCUGAUUCCAGUCUGACCACCCCAUCAUCUAAAUUCGGAAUCAGAGGAAGCCUUUCCCAGUGACCAGACUGGUGGCUCCCAUCUGCCCAGUCUUUGCUUCCUAAAAAUAAGUUACCCAGAAGCCUCAGCGCUAUGGUUGAGAAGGAAGCAAAAUAAUCAGUUGUCAGGGAGACGGUUCCUUUGCCAAGCCACGGGGGGAGCCCCUGGAAGAGCAGAGGCCACCACCUCCAAAAGCCCAGAAACUUGGGUGGUGAGAGACAUGGCUCAAGUUCAAGGAGCCCCCUCCCAUGCAAAUUAAACCACAGUCAGCCGUCACUUCAUGCCUCCAAGACUGGCUAUUGCCAAAAGACCAAAGGCCUCCCCAAAGGGACCCACGACCUUCUACCGAGGUAGCUGGAAUCCCUGCCUCACUGCCUCUGCCCCAGCCUCCUGAGGAUGCCUCCAUGUUUCUGAAAACCAAGUUCUCCUCACCUGGUACCACCUUCUCCAUCUUUUCUGCUGUUAUAUCUUACACAUCCUUCAACUCCAGAUGGAAGCCAGAGAGGAGAGACUUGAACCUGAAUCUUGGCUUUCUGCUGCUUUUGCCUGGUCUCUCUUCUCCAAAACCUGGGGAAGGUACUUGGGCUUCUCUGUUAACAAGAAGGGGACACUCGCUCCCAUUCUGGUGUUCUCAGAGUUUCUCGAUGGGUCCCUGGGUGGGGUCAAGGUGACCUUGAGGAGGGUUCAACUGGCCUUAA